CUGCCCGUAGCUCAGUUGGAUGAGAGCAACGGCCUUCUAAGCCGUGGGUCGCCGGUUCGAGCCCGGCCGGGCAGGCCA
rnacentral:tRNA from 1 species